UCCCGUGUGGCUCAGUUGGUAGAGCAUGGCACAUGCAACGCCAGGGUUGUGGGUUUGAUUCCCACAGGGGAC
rfam:Salmo salar isolate Sally breed double haploid chromosome ssa01, whole genome shotgun sequence.